CUGUGUGCACAAAGGCCCAGCCUAGCAGCUAUGGAAGCUGACUCCUGGGACCACAGACUGCAUGCAGUUUGCAUGAAUUUUAUACUGCUCACAUGAAAAAUUAACUUCUAAUUCUGUAUAAGGUUUUAUAAUUCUAUUAUUUUGCAAAUGGUAAAUAUUAAAAUUGUAGAGCACAUUCAGUUUUAUCUUAAAGAAUAAAUGCUACUUGACAAAAAUGUUAAAAAGGGUUGGGUUAAUCAGAUUACUAUUAUAGUAUAAACCAAGUUAAUAUUUAUUUAUAUGACUGUAUUUUUCUAGGAAAUUUCCAAGGUGGAGUACUAGAUAGGUGAUACCACCCUAUUUUUCACGUUACACUGCUGCUCCAUUAUCUUUUACGUAUAUCAAGCAGCAAUCUUGACUUUACUUUGUCCUAAUUAUACACUGUCUUUUAUGCCUUUCUUUGUGGCUACAAUGAAUUAACACAAUAGCUAAUCUUAACAAAGCCAACCUAAAUAAUUAUGAGGACGUUCCUAAUUACAAGCGUUUCUUUUUUUUCAAGAGAAAAAGGUAAGUGCUGAACUCUGUGACAUACACAUGGAAAGACAUUUGUGUGGUCACUGACUGGAGCUCGUGAGGCACAAAGGACAAUGACACUUACUGCAGAGGAAGAGCCCCUGCGCAAUUCUUUUGUUCUGGGCUUUCUGAGCGGAAAUGACCUUAAAAUCUGGAGUGGGGAUAUAUGGAAGGCAGUGCUAGAGAUGGCACCCGCUUCACCAUUAAGCCAAGUCACUAGCCACAAAGACAGAAACUGUGCUUUGAUUGUCCAAGUUGCUCUGUGCCAGAAGAUGUUACAUCAGCCCUUUACCAUCCACCAUUUACUUCUCAGGGCUUCAGUUCCUGCUGGUCAGUCUGGCUUGGAAAUAGAGUGAACUAUCUCAGAAACGAACAAUUCCCAAGUUUUAAGCUGCAUGAUUUUUAAAAGCUUGAUAUGAGUAUCAUGAUGAAAUCUUAUGCUACACUGGCUCCAACCUACCCAGGAUGUGAAUUGUCUUUCUGCCCAGUGCAUCUACUUUGUACACCCUACUGACUCAGGAGUGACUGGGUAGCCAUCUUUGUUAUCAGACUGACUGUCUUGGUAUCAAUGCGUUUAUGUUUAAGCAAACAUCAUUUUAUUUAAUGAACCCAAAGCACAAGGGUAGCAAUAAUGGCUAUUCUAUUCUUAUAAUCACUGUUACUAUUAAUUGCAUGUGCUAAUUUAUAAAUUACAUUUGUCACAGACAUGCAUCUAUAGGAGAAAUGCAGCAUAUAUGGGUUUUGUCCCAGCCAUGGCUUCAGGAACCCACUACAGUCUUGAAAUGUACUUUUCUCAGGUGUCACCUGCAAAUAGCUUCUGGGACUUCAUAUCUACUUCUCUCUGCUGGGAUUUUGUGUAGCCUGAAUGUAAUGUGUUUUACCCGAGCAUAUGUUUAUACACCACUUGGAAGCCUCGUGACCGAAGAGGCCGGAAGAGUAUGCUGGAUUCCCGGCAACUGAAACUACAGGUGGUUGUGAGCUGCCACGUGGGUCCUCUGAAAGAGCAGCCAUGCUCCUAACUUUUGAGCCAUAUCUGCUAAAGAUGCAUGUAGUGACAAUGUCUUUUAACAGUGUUAGGACUCCUUUUAAAAUUCUAUAGUUCUAUGUUUGGAGAGAUGGUUUGGUGGUGAAGAGCGCUGGCUGCUCCUUCCAAGCCUGGAGGCCAGUUUCCAGCAUCCACAUCAUGAAGCUCACAAUGUGAAGUAACUCCAGCUCCAGUUAUCCAACAUCCUCUGCAGGCCUUCACAAUGACCUGAACACGUCUGGCAUGUAUACACACACACAUAUUAAAAAAAAUCCCUGGUUGUCAGAAACGAUGGUCAAUUAUGCAACCUUCCAUAAGAUACAACCACUGUCUUUGUUCACUAAUUUCUAUGUAACUGUAAAAUGAUCACAUCAGGAGGUAUACUUAAAAGUUUCUUUAACAAGGUGGUAAUUAUAGAUUACUGCUUUCUACAUGAUCUGAACAAUUACAAUCAUUUUUACCUUUCUCAAAAAUUCUAAAAUUAUAUAAUAACAUUGUUGGGGAUUAUAAUAUAGCAAAAGAUCUUUUAACAAGUGUUUUAAAUGAUAAAGAUUUAAGUUCAUCACAUGUAAAGUAUAAUACCUUACAUACUUUUCCUUUUUUAAUUUGAUUUAUAUGUGAAAGUGUUCUGCUUUCGUUCAUGUUAGUACACACAUGUGCCUGGUGCCUGUGCUUUUCAUGUUUUUGCUUUUGUCUUUUGAGACAGGAUUUCUCUGUGUAGCCCAGCUGUCUUGGAACUUGUUAUAUAGACCAGGCUGGCCUCGAACUCAAGAGAUCUGCCUACUUCUGCCCCGUGAAUGCUGGGAAGGGCACCACCACUGCUAGCUAGCCAGUGCUUUUGACUGUUGGUCCCCUACUCACAUUUUUUUUUCUUAGAGGGUUUCUAACUACUUUGGCAAUAUACACACUUUAUCUUACAAAAUCUUUGGUGUAGAUGUGCCAAUUUUUAAGCCAUAGGUCUACAUAAAGUUUGUGAAAAUAAUAAUGACCAAAUCAUAUUUAAAAGCUCCUUUCUUCCUUUUAGUCAUUAUAUGUUAAAUGGAAAUAAGCACCUUUAUUUAUAAUGUUUAUAAAUACAUUCACUAUGCUAGGCUCUAGAAAUAUAAAAGAAAGUGUACAUCUUUUAUAGGACCAGCCCUAUGUGCUUACAGUUCAGCAGAUGACAAUGAACAAAACUGUGUUAAAAACAUGCAGUAUAAUUCUUAGAAGAGUAACACUGCUGGAAAAUAAACAAAAGAGCCCAACUGGAAGCUAAAAAAGCCUGAAAACUCUGUAGAUAUGUGGUUCCAUCCUUUUUCAGAGGUUUACUUUAAAACUGACUUUAAAAGUUAACUUUUAAAAUUUACUCGAAUAUAUUAAAAUAUAUAAAUGUGAAAUGUAUUUCUCUUAGCCUAUUUGUCCUUGACAGAAGGGCCAACUAUAUCAAGACAUUAUAUAGAAGCUGCACAGAUGAAAACUUACAUAAAAAUUUUCCCAUUUAGUUCUCCAGACUAAGCCAAUCUAAAUUUAAGAUAACAAGUUUGUAUUUUUUAAUAGAAUUUAAUUUUCAAACCAGAUUUAGGUUCACAGAAAACUGAAUGUUGAGUACAGCAAGUUCUUGCAUACCCUCGGCCCACAUAUGUGUCAGCCCACCCACGAUCAACCCCCUGCACAGAGUGGUAUAUUUGUUACAGCAGAUGAACCUAUACCAACCCACCAUCAUCACAGAGUCUAAUCUAUGCUGAGUUCACUCUUGCUGUUGGACAUUCAAUCCUUUUCCAAGCAUGCAAUGGCAUAUAUCCGCUAUCACAGAACCACACAGAAUAGUUUUGCUCUCUUCUUAAAAAAUCCUAGGAACCACAGAUUUUUUUACUUUUUGACUUCCCCAAAUGUCACAGGAUUGGGAUAAUGUGUAUAAAGCCUUUUCAGAUUGUUUUCUUUUCACUUAGUAAUAAACAUUUACUACUAUUUCUUCCAUGUGCUUCGUGGCUUAAUCUUUUUUACUGCUGCAUACUAUGCCAUUGCUCUAUUCACCUACUGAAGUUCAUCUUAUUUGCUACUAGGUUUAGACAACGAUAGGCAAUUACAAACAUCUAUCUUCAGUUUUCUCUGCACCAAUGUUUGCAAUUAAUUUGAAGAGAUUCUAAUGAUUAUCACUGCUGGGUUAUACGGUCAAUGAUGUAUUCUGUAAAAACUUCGAUGCUGUAAACACAUACUUUUGUGUAGUAGCUGUGAUUUCCAAAGUCUCCUGCUGCACCAAUAAUUGGUUCCUAAAUACUAAACACAGAUAGGUGUGCUGUAAAAAGAGUAAGACAAAUAGAAGUAGAACAUAUGUCCCUCAGUAGCACUCCUGUGAAAGGGUGAACAUUUUCAAAGAUGAGUCACGAUAUUAAUCUUACAAAGCUCAUGGCCUUGGAUAAGGAACUAAGAAAUAAAUAUUCUUGCCCACAGUAGUGUUUUAUAACCAGGUAAACAGACUAAUUCUACCCUUUUAUCUUGGAAACUGCCCUACUCUUGAUCAGACUCGGCACUGCUGCCACAGUUUUAAAAGGCUGCCUGUUUAUUUGAUAUACAUUCCAGUUUGGUGCGAAGGAACUGCAUUACUAAAUAUAAACUACCCCCCAAAGAUAAAGACUCUUCCUUCCUUCUUAUCUGGACCAGCUUUAUGAAAAUGGAUGGAUAACGAGGUUGAACUCUAGGAUACUCCAAGAUGAAGAUGUCUUGGUAGGAACACUGACACCAGUGGUCUAGAUGUAAGUCAGAAGAUAAUUGGAUAUAAAUAGGCAAGCAC